rnacentral:tRNA from 1 species
GGUAUUGUUGCCCAGUGGUAGAGCACUCACCUAGCAUGUGUGAGGCCCUGGGUUCGAUCCUCAGCACCU